AUUUAAGUAGUUUAAAAAUUAAAAUAAUGGGUUGUGGAUCCGUGGAUGUAGUAAUACCUUAAAUU
rnacentral:tRNA from 1 species